GGAUUAGAUACCCUGGUAGUCCACGCCGUAAACGAUGUCUACUAGCCGUUGGGGUACUUGAGACCUUAGUGGCGCAGCUAACGCACUAAGUAGACCGCCUGGGGAGUACGGCCGCAAGGUUAAAACUCAAAUGAAUUGACGGGGGCCCGCACAAGCGGUGGAGCAUGUGGUUUAAUUCGAUGCAACGCGAAGAACCUUACCAGGUCUUGACAUCCUGCGAAGUUACCAGAGAUGGUUUCGUGCCUUCGGGAGCGCAGUGACAGGUGCUGCAUGGCUGUCGUCAGCUCGUGCCG
rnacentral:rRNA from 1 species